UAGCGGCGGACGGGUGAGUAAUGCUUAGGAAUCUGCCUAUUAGUGGGGGACAACAUUUCGAAAGGAAUGCUAAUACCGCAUACGCCCUACGGGGGAAAGCAGGGGAUCUUCGGACCUUGCGCUAAUAGAUGAGCCUAAGUCGGAUUAGCUAGUUGGUGGGGUAAAGGCCUACCAAGGCGACGAUCUGUAGCGGGUCUGAGAGGAUGAUCCGCCACACUGGGACUGAGACACGGCCCAGACUCCUACGGGAGGCAGCAGUGGGGAAUAUUGGACAAUGGGGGGAACCCUGAUCCAGCCAUGCCGCGUGUGUGAAGAAGGCCUUUUGGUUGUAAAGCACUUUAAGCGAGGAGGAGGAGCUCUAGAUUAAUACUCUAGAUGUUUGGACGUUACUCGCAGAAUAAGCACCGGCUAACUCUGUGCCAGCAGCCGCGGUAAUACAGAGGGUGCAAGCGUUAAUCGGAUUUACUGGGCGUAAAGCGUGCGUAGGUGGCCAAUUAAGUCAAAUGUGAAAUCCCCGAGCUUAACUUGGGAAUUGCAUUCGAUACUGGUUGGCUAGAGUAUGGGAGAGGAUGGUAGAAUUCCAGGUGUAGCGGUGAAAUGCGUAGAGAUCUGGAGGAAUACCGAUGGCGAAGGCAGCCAUCUGGCCUAAUACUGACACUGAGGUACGAAAGCAUGGGGAGCAAACAGGAUUAGAUACCCUGGUAGUCCAUGCCGUAAACGAUGUCUACUAGCCGUUGGGGCCUUUGAGGCUUUAGUGGCGCAGCUAACGCGAUAAGUAGACCGCCUGGGGAGUACGGUCGCAAGACUAAAACUCAAAUGAAUUGACGGGGGCCCGCACAAGCGGUGGAGCAUGUGGUUUAAUUCGAUGCAACGCGAAGAACCUUACCUGGUCUUGACAUA
rnacentral:rRNA from 1 species